rnacentral:tRNA from 1 species
GCCACUGUGGCUCAGGGGUAGAGCGACGCCUUGGUAAGGCGUAGGUCGCGAGUUCAAUUCUCGCCAGUGGCUC